rnacentral:misc_RNA from 1 species
GAUGAAGAACGUAGCGAAAUGCGAUAAGUGAUGUGAAUUGCAGAAUUCAGUGAAUCAUCGAAUCUUUGAACGCACAUUGCGCCCGGCAGUACUCUGCCGGGCAUGCCUGUUCGAGCGUCAUUUCAACCCUCAAGCCCUGCUUGGUGUUGGGGCCCCACGGCUGCCGUGGGCCCUGAAAGGAAGUGGCGGGCUCGCUACAACUCCGAGCGUAGUAAUUCAUUAUCUCGCUUAGGGCGUUGGGCGGCGCUCCAGCCGUUAAAGAACCAUCUUUAACUCAAGGUUGACCUCGGAUCAGGUAGGAAUACCCGCUGAACUUAAGCAUAUCAAUAAGCGGAGGA